rnacentral:lncRNA from 1 species
UGUAAUCCAGCACUGCAGGGGGCGAGGCGGGCGGAUCACUCGAACUCAGGAGUUUGAGAUCAGCCUGGGCAACAUGGUGAAGCCCCAUCUCUACUGAAAAUACAGAAAAAAUAUGCCGGGCGCGGUGGCUCACGCCUGUAAUCCCAGCACUUUGGGAGGCCAAGCGGGCGGAUCACCUGAGGUCAGGAGUUUGAGACCAGCCUGGCCAAUACGGUGAAACCCUGUCACUACUAAAAAUACAAAAGUUAGCCUGGCUUGGUGGCGCGCGCCUGUAAUCCCCGCGAAGCUGAGGCAGGAGAAUCGCUUGAGCCCGGGGGCGGAGGUGGCAGCGAGCCGAGAUCGCGCCACUGCACUCCAGCCUGGGCCACCGGGUGAGACUCCGUCUCAAAGAAAAAAAAGAAAGAAAACGACACGAAUCGGGGUACAAGGUUGGGUUUCAGCCGAGCCAGUCUGAGCCCCUUUCCCGCGCCCUCUGGUGGGAGGUGUUCGCUUUUCUGCACACCCGUGUGAAGGAUUCACCGGCCCUCCUCGGGUGGCCGUUACUUUACAGGAGCAAAGCAAGGUACGGGACGUUGUUCCCUCUUUUCUGUUUCUUCCUUUUCUUUCUCCUCCGCCCCCUCCCCGCCUCCACAUUCCUCCCUCU